rnacentral:rRNA from 1 species
AACGGGUGAGUAACAUUUAGGAAUCUACCUUUUAGUGGGGGAUAGCUCGGGGAAACUCGAAUUAAUACCGCAUACGACCUACGGGUGAAAGGGGGCGCGAGCUCUUGCUAGGAGAUGAGCCUAAAUCAGAUUAGCUAGUUGGUGGGGUAAAGGCUUACCAAGGCGACGAUCUGUAACUGGUCUGAGAGGAUGAUCAGUCACACCGGAACUGAGACACGGUCCGGACUCCUACGGGAGGCAGCAGUGGGGAAUAUUGGACAAUGGGGGGAACCCUGAUCCACCCAUGCCGCGUGUGUGAAGAAGGCCUUUUGGUUGUAAAGCACUUUNNNCAGGGAGGAGAGGCUAAUGGUUAANACCCAUUAGACNAGACGUUNCCUGCANAAUAAGCACCGNNUAACUCUGUGCCAGCANCCGCGGUAAUACANANGGUGCNAGCGUUANUCNAANUUNCUGGGCGUAAAGCGAGUGUAGGUGGCUCAUUNAGUCACAUGUGAAAUCCCCGGGCUCAACCUGCGAACUGNCAUGUGAUACUGGUGGUGCUAGAAUAUGUGAGAGGGAAGUAGAAUUCCAGGUGUAGCGGUGAAAUGCGUAGAGAUCUGGAGGAAUACCGAUGGCGAAGGCAGCUUCCUGGCAUAAUAUUGACACUGAGAUUCGAAAGCGUGGGUAGCAAACAGGAUUAGAUACCCUGGUAGUCCACGCCCAUAAACGAUGUCUACUAGCCGUUGGGGUCCUUGAGACUUUAGUGGCGCAGUUAACGCGAUAAGUAGACCGCCUGGGGAGUACGGCCGCAAGGUUAAAACUCAAAUGAAUUGACGGGGGCCCGCACAAGCGGUGGAGCAUGUGGUUUAAUUCGAUGCAACGCGAAGAACCUUACCUGGUCUUGACAUAGUGAGAAUCUUUCAGAGAUGAGAGAGUGCCUUCGGGAAUUCACAUACAGGUGCUGCAUGGCUGUCGUCAGCUCGUGUCGUGAGAUGUUGGGUUAAGUCCCGCAACGAGCGCAACCCUUUUCCUUAUUUGCCAGCGAGUUAAGUCGGGAACUUUAAGGAUACUGCCAGUGACAAACUGGAGGAAGGCGGGGACGACGUCAAGUCAUCAUGGCCCUUACGACCAGGGCUACACACGUGCUACAAUGGUAGGUACAGAGGGUUGCUACACAGCGAUGUGAUGCUAAUCUCAAAAAGCCUAU